rnacentral:pre_miRNA from 9 species
UCUCGUUAGCGUAAAAGUUAACUCUUAUUUGUAUGAAGUUGAAACCUUUGCCUACGUUUGCCGCUAGGGGCGCUGUUCCAACUACAUACAAAUUCGAGUUAACUUUUACGCUAUCGA